AACUCUAUGUCUGACUCAGGUGGAGAUGCAGGCAGAGCAGCCUUUAGGUCAGACGCUCUCCCAAAAACAUCCACCCCACUAACAGAGGAGACACUUAAUCCAACAUGAUGUGUUAGUGUAUGUCACCCUCAAAA